rnacentral:rRNA from 1 species
GAUGAACGCUAGCUACAGGCUUAACACAUGCAAGUCGAGGGGAAACGCCAUCGAAAGCUUGCUUUUGAUGGGCGUCGACCGGCGCACGGGUGAGUAACGCGUAUCCAACCUGCCCAUCACUUGGGAAUAACCUUGCGAAAGUAAGACUAAUACCCAAUGACAUCCCACGAAGACAUCUGAAUGGGAUUACAGAUUUAUCGGUGAUGGAUGGGGAUGCGUCUGAUUAGCUUGUUGGCGGGGUAACGGCCCACCAAGGCAACGAUCAGUAGGGGUUCUGAGAGGAAGGUCCCACACAUAGGAACUGAGACACGGUCCAAACUCCUGCGGGAGGCAGCAGUGAGGAAGAAUGGUCAAUGGGCGAGAGCCUGAACCAGCCAAGGAGCGUGCAGGAUGACGGCCCUAUGGGUUGUAAACUGCUUUUAUAAGAAAAUAAAGUGGGUAUCGUGAGACUUUUUGCAUGUACCUUAUGAAUAAGGACCGGCUAAUUCCGUGC